rnacentral:lncRNA from 1 species
AAAUCCCUAAUUUUGAACAUAUGAAAAACGUUAGCAAUGAUUUCAGAACACAAAUAUAUUACUAAUAAUCUCAAUCGAAUAAUGAAUCAACCAAAUCACUAAACCCUAAAACAAUGUAAUUUUUGCGAUACCAUACCUUGUUGAGUUGAUGAUUUUUAACUGUAGUUGAAGGCCGACCAAGUAGGUAAUGGUGGCUCGAUUUGCACCUACGUGAACGGAGGAGGGCGGUGGAGGCCUUCGUGGUGGUUAUUUGCGAUGAAAAGAGGAAGAGAGAGAAGAACGUACAAAAAUGUAUUUGCGAUGAACGGAGGAGGGCGGAAGAGAGAGUGACAAUCUUAUACUAUAAACAUUGGAAGUUGGAUUUGAAAAAAGGAAGAAAAGUAAGGGAAUUGAAUGUGUUUUUUACUUUUCAUUUUGAAUUUGGUUACCGGGGAUGUGUUACGUUGUAUAACGGUUAUGUAGGAAGAUGCUGGCUUGCUUGCUUGCUACUGUCAUCACUCUUUUCCUUUUCAGAAUCACGCAAGUCAAAGUAAGGUAUUUGUAUUGUAUAUUUUUUUUCUACCGUCUUUUACUAAUUUUAU